AACGAACGCUGGCGGCAUGCCUAACACAUGCAAGUCGAACGAGACCUUCGGGUCUAGUGGCGCACGGGUGCGUAACGCGUGGGAACCUGCCCUUAGGUUCGGAAUAACUCCCCGAAAGGGGUGCUAAUCCCGGAUAAUGUCUUCGGACCAAGGAUUUAUCGCCUUUGGAUGGGCCCGCGUUGGAUUAGCUAGUUGGUAGGGUAAAAGCCUACCAAGGCGACGAUCCAUAGCUGGUCUGAGAGGAUGAUCAGCCACACUGGGACUGAGACACGGCCCAGACUGCUACGGGAGGCAGCAGUGGGGAAUAUUGGACAGUGGGCGAGAGCCUGAUCCAGCGAUGCCGCGUGAGUGAUGAAGGCCUUAGGGUUGUAAAGCUCUUUUACCCGGGAUGAUAAUGACAGUACCGGGAGAAUAAGCUCCGGCUAACUCCGUG
rnacentral:rRNA from 1 species